rfam:Wallemia sebi CBS 633.66 unplaced genomic scaffold WALSEscaffold_10, whole genome shotgun sequence.
GACAGUUUGGCCGAGUGGUUAAGGCGAUAGAUUGCUACUAUUCAAACACUUGAGCUUGCUCUUGUUGAUUGAUUAACCUUCUAUUGCGCAUUGCGUUCAUGAGUUCGAAUCUCAUAGCUGUCG